rnacentral:lncRNA from 1 species
GGCCCUGGGCACAUUGGUCAAGUCUUCAAAGUGAUUCUGGCUUCCCCAAACUCCUUUUUUUGUCCUCUCUCCCAGGCCAAAGUCAGAGGCCCCAUCCUCUCUCCACCAUCAAUGGGAAGAGGUCUUUGCAAUGCAUCAGUCCCUUUGUCCUGAAUUCAUCACUGACUGAUACUGUCACCUCAGCUGUUUAAUCUUGUUCUUUAUUUUUUGUCUUUUUAGGGCAGUACCUGUGGCAUGUGGAAGUUCCAAGGCUAGGAGUCUAAUUGGAGCUAUAGAUGCGGCCUUCACCACAGCCACAGCAAUGUGGGAUCUGAGGUGCAGUUGUGACGUACACCACAGCUCACAGCAAUGCUGGAUCCUUACACCACUGAGCAAGGCCAGGGUUCGAACCCACAUCUUCAUGGAUACUAGUCAGAUUCAUUUCCAGUGAGCCACAAUGGGAACUCCAAUCUUUUCUCUAAUUGUAUCACCAAGGUGGAUUUUAGGCACUGGCAAGUGGGUGAAGAGCUCUUGGGUAGAGGGAUCUAGAGGGCCCCUUUGACCCCAAUAGCCUUGCUACUCAAAAGGUGGUUCUGGACCAGCAGCAUCUGCAUCCCCAGGGAGCUUGUUGGGAUGCAGAAGCUCAGGCCCCAGCCAUGGUGCUGGAUCAGAAUCUGCCCUGUAACAACACCCACUGGUAUUGCUGAUGGCGAUGAUCAGGGACCACACUUUGAGAAUCACUGCCCCAGAACUUCUCAGGGAAACUACACACCCAGAGCAUCCCCUAGAGGGGUUUUCCAGCGAGGGUAGAAGAAGCAGUUAAUGAGUUUUCAUUUCCUUGCUGGCAGAGGCGAACAACCAGCAGGGCAACACACUUGGGGUGGAAAACUGACUUCCCAUUCAUCUCUACCAGUUUGGCCCAGGUCCAGCCUACCCUGAACCCCACCUCCCCUCCCCUCAUGACUGCUCAGGCCGGCCCCACCACCUACAGGAUUUCCAGCUUAAAUUGUCAGGCACGUGGGAGAGGGGCCUCAGUUAUCACAGCAUAAUCACAGCAAAUCCAAACCAGGUGAUACAAAAUAGUACAGAUGUGACAUCUCAUGUUAUACACAGAACUGGAAUUAAUAGGAAUCCUCCAAAAGAGAUCCACUUCAAGACCAGCAGAGGUCCUGGGGAGCAGUUUGUAUUUUUCACACAUGUCAGGCCACAGAAAUGCCUGCCAUCCUUUUUCAAGAGCUGUAAUCUGUGAACCUUCUUAUUGUUUAUAUAUAUCAGAGAGGCCAUUAGUAUCCUGAUGACUGUUGUGUUACUAUUGAUCAUUACAGAUAUAAUCUAUUAUCUCUUUCUUACUUUUUAGGGCUUCCCCCAUGGCAUAUGGAAAUUCACAGGCUAGGGCUUGAAUCAGAGCUACAUCUGUCAGCCUACAUCACAGCCACAGCAACAUGGGAUCUGAGUUACGUCUGCAACCUACACCACAGCUCACAGCAAUGCCAGAUCCUUAACCCACUGAUCAAGGCCAGGAAUAGAACCCACAUCCUUAUGGAUAAUACUCGGAUUUGUUUCCGCUGCACCACGGGAACUCCCUAUUAUCUUUUAAAAAUGUAUUAGCGCAUAUCACAGAGAGACUCCUGAAUGGGGAUGCAUGUGCUAAGGCUUAAAAGGAGGCCCCCAAAUCAAAAUCUUGGCAAGAGCAGUUAGACGUGGUAAAAUGCCAUGAUGAAAGUCGUCCAUACACGCUGACAUGCUGUUCACAUGGGAAAAGCCUCUGCUAAACAUUAAAGAUAGUGCUGGGGGAAAAGGCAGCUUUAAAGCAAAAGGAUAACACAGUAAUUACAUAUUUAUGCUCUCCUGGAAUACAGCCACCUGACUAUAUUUACCGCUAUGGGAAAUUUUGCCUUGAAUUAUAGAAGAUCUUCAAAAAAGCAUCCGUUGCAUAAAAUGUGACCAUAACAUAUAUGAGAAUAUUUUACUCCUCACUUCAAUAGAGCCAAAAAUGUAUCCUGAUGUGUCCAACACCAUUUUGUCCCUUGGUUACAGAUCCCAUCCCCUCCAAUGGGAGAGCCUUCACCGACUCCCUCUGUCCCCUGUGGCCCCAUAAACGGCACUGCAAGCAGUAGACACCCCAUAACAUGCUCAUUAUGCCAUUAUUCACAACAGAAGUGGUUUUGAAUUCAUUCUGGUUUCUUUUUUAAAAAAUCCAGGCUGAUAAUUCAUUGCAGCACUAUUCACAAGAGCCAAGAUAUGGAAACAACCCAAAUGUCCAUCAACGGAUAAUUGGAUUAGGAAGAUGUGGUAUACAUAAACAAUGGAAUACUACUCAGCCAUAAAAAAGAACAAAAUAAUGCCAUCUGCAGCAACAUGGAUGGAACUAGAGACUCACACUGAGUGAAGUAAGUCAAAAAGAGAAAGACAAAUACCAUAUGAUACCACUUAUAUCUGGAAUCUAAUAUAUGGCACAAAUGAACCUUUCCAAGAAAAGAAAAUCAUGGACAUGGAGAACACACUUGUGGUUGCCAAGGGGGAGGGGGAGGGAGAGGGAGUGGGAUGGAUGGGGUUCUUGGGGUUAACAGAUGCAGACUCUUGCCUUUCGAAUGGAUUAGUGAUGAGAUCCUGCUGUAUAGCACUGACAACUAUGUCUGGUCAUUUAUGAUGGAGCAUGAUAAUGUGAGAAAAAAGACUGUAUACAUGUAUGUGUAACCAAGUCACUAUGCUGUACAGUAGAAAAUUGAUAGAACACUGAAAACCAGCUAUAAUGGAAAAAAAUAAAAAUCGUUGUACAAAUCGAGGCUGGUAAUAUUUUUUGAACUCUGGCUUUGAGCAGGACUCUGCUCUGCUGGGUGGAUCUUGGAAUUCUCAGUGCCUCCAUUUCCCAUCUUUGCAGAGAAAUUUGCCCUCAGUCUGAGGGUCAACGUUUGGAGGGAGUUGUACAAAGGAUAGAGAUGGUGGCCUUCAGAAGUGAGGAGGGGCAAGGGCUUUGGCCAUGUCUCCAGCAAGUCCAUCCAUGCUCCUGUGCCUGCUCCUGCUCCGGGGGGAGGGGGCCAUCACAGGUGGACACAGCCAUUCCAUUCUUUUCCCCUCUGCAAGAUCCAUAGCCUGUAUCUUAAGCAGUGGGGUAUGUAGGCUGGAUCUCAGGAGGGAGGAUGGGGUGUGCUCUGGGGUCUAAGAAGCAGUUAGUUGAAACUGUGUUAGUUCUGAUUUUAAGCGGUGACAACAGAUGGAGGUUUAAGGUGGGAGACCCUCUCCCUCAGGGGUCAAGAGGUGGAGGAAGAGCAGAAGAUGACCGAAAGGUGGAGUGAUGGCAGCCCGAAUGGGAUAGGCUUUCUGCUUCCUCUUGUGCAAACACCUCUCCCAUCUCCACCCUAAAUGGAGGGUCACAGAGGCCAACGGAGCAG